UACGGAGGGGGUUAGCGUUUUUCGGAAUUACUGGGCGUAAAGCGCGCGUAGGCGGAUCAGAAAGUUGGGGGUGAAAUCCCGGGGCUCAACCCCGGAACUGCCUCCAAAACUCCUGGUCUUGAGUUCGAGAGAGGUGAGUGGAAUUCCGAGUGUAGAGGUGAAAUUCGUAGAUAUUCGGAGGAACACCAGUGGCGAAGGCGGCUCACUGGCUCGAUACUGACGCUGAGGUGCGAAAGUGUGGGGAGCAAACAGG
rnacentral:rRNA from 1 species